rnacentral:rRNA from 1 species
UAUCUCUGUAGAGUCUGCAUAUCAAUAAGCGGAGGAAAAGAAACUAACUAGGAUUCCCUCAGUAACGGCGAGUGAAGCGGGAAGAGCUCAAAUUUGAAAUCUUCAAGGUUCUACCUUGACGAAUUGUAGUUUAAAGAAGUGUUUUCUGUUGGAGUUUUGGUAAAAGUUCUUUGGAAUAGGACAUCAUAGAGGGUGAGAAUCCCGUAUUUGACCAUUAUUUCCAGCUUUGUGAUACACUUUCAAAGAGUCGGAUUGUUUGGGAAUGCAGUCCAAAAUGGGUGGUAAAUUUCAUCUAAAGCUAAAUAUUGGCGAGAGACCGAUAGCGAACAAGUACCGUGAGGGAAAGAUGAAAAGAACUUUGAAAAGAGAGUUAAACAGUACGUGAAAUUGUCAAAAGGGAAGCGUUUGACACCAGUGUUGUUUUCUCGAAAAUCAAUUAAAAAAAGUUGGAUUUUGUAUUGUUAAGACCUUAUCAGCUUACUGUACUCUUUUCUUGCUUUUUUUAAUGCACUUUUCGUUUAACAAGUCAACAUCAAUUUCUUUUGUUGUAAAAGAGUCAUUGGAAGGUGGCUUUCACUUCGGUGAAAGUGUUUAUAGCCUUUGGCUUCUGCAAUCGGAGAGAUUGAGGUCUGCAGCGUAGAUCCUUCGGGGCUAGAUACGUAGAUGCUAAGUUAUAGUUUUUUAUAGACAACUUGUUGACUAUAAUUAAUCAUGUAGCUUACUCGUUUGCGCUAUUUUACCUACGCUUAGGAUGUU